rfam:Vigna angularis cultivar Jingnong 6 chromosome 2, whole genome shotgun sequence.
GAGUUUGAUUCUGGUUCAGGAUGAACGCUGACGGCAUGCCUUACACAUGUAAGUUGAACGUGAAGUGGUGUUUCCAGGGACGAGUGAAUAACGUGUAAAAACCUAACAGCAAUUGGAAACGACUGCUAAUACCCCCUAGGUUGAGGAGUGAAAGGAGGAAUCCGUUCGAGGAGGGGCUCGUGUCUGAUUAACUAUUGAGGCAAUAGCUUACUAAGGCGAUGAUGAGUAGUUGGUCCGAGAGGAUGAUUAGCCACACUGGGAUUAAGACAUGGCCCAGACUCCUACGGGAGAUAGCAGUGGGGAAUUUUCCGCAAUGGGCGAAAGCCUGACGUAAUAAUGACAGUUCUAACCGUUAAUAUGUAUUGAAUGUCAUCU